rnacentral:rRNA from 1 species
CAGCCGCCGCGGGAAUACGAAGGGGGCUAGCGUUGUUCGGAAUUACUGGGCGUAAAGCGCGCGCAGGCGGUUCUCCAAGUCAGUGGUGAAAGCCCGGAGCUCAACUCCGGAACUGCCAUUGAAACUGUUGAACUUGAGGACGAGAGAGGUGAGUGGAAUUCCCAGUGUAGAGGUGAAAUUCGUAGAUAUUGGGAAGAACACCGGUGGCGAAGGCGGCUCACUGGCUCGUAUCUGACGCUCAGGCGCGAUAGCGUGGGGAUCAAACAGGAUUAGAUACCCCUGUAGUCCCUGUCUCUUAUAC